rnacentral:rRNA from 1 species
GACUCAGACCCGCUNUNUGCUACUACAUGNGUNNGUUGUAUNUAUGGCUCACGACUGANCACGCUCGUCUUUNUCAGCCUAACACAUGCAAGUCGAACGGCAGCACAGGAGAGCUUGCUCUCUGGGUGGCGAGUGGCGGACGGGUGAGGAAUACAUCGGAAUCUACUCUGUCGUGGGGGAUAACGUAGGGAAACUUACGCUAAUACCGCAUACGACCUACGGGUGAAAGCAGGGGAUCUUCGGACCUUGCGCGAUUGAAUGAGCCGAUGUCGGAUUAGCUAGUUGGCGGGGUAAAGGCCCACCAAGGCGACGAUCCGUAGCUGGUCUGAGAGGAUGAUCAGCCACACUGGAACUGAGACACGGUCCAGACUCCUACGGGGAGGCAGCAGUGGGGAAUAUUUGGACAAUGGGCGGCAAGCCUGAUUCCAGCCAAUACCGGCGGUGGGGUGNACAGAAAGGGGCCCUUACGGGGGUUUGGUAACAAAGGCCCCCUUUUAGGUUCGGGGCAAAAGGAAAAUUCCAAGGCUUGGCUUAAAUUACCCUUGGUUGGGCACUGACCGGGUACCCCAAAGGACACUAAGCCAACGGGUUAAACUUCCGUGUNGCCCAGGCAAACCCGCGGGUAAUUACGC